rnacentral:rRNA from 1 species
GCUACGCUGAUGCGCUGCUACACGUGCAGCCGAGCGGUAUGGAUAGCUUGCUAUCCUGAGAGCGGCGUACGGGUGCGUAACACGUGUGCAACCUACCUUUAUCUGGGGGAUAGCCUUUCGAAAGGAAGAUUAAUACCCCAUAAUAUAAUGAUUGGCAUCAAUUAUUAUUGAAAACUCCGGUGGAUAGAGAUGGGCACGCGCAAGAUUAGAUAGUUGGUGAGGUAACGGCUCACCAAGUCUGUGAUCUUUAGGGGUCCUGAGAGGGAGAUCCCCCACACUGGUACUGAGACACGGACCAGACUCCUACGGGAGGCAGCAGUGAGGAAUAUUGGACAAUGGGUGAAAGCCUGAUCCAGCCAUCCCGCGUGAAGGAUGACGGUCCUAUGGAUUGUAAACUUCUUUUGUACAGGGAUAAACCUACUCUCGUGAGGGUAGCUGAAGGUACUGUACGAAUAAGCACCGGCUAACUCCGUGCCAGCAGCCGCGGUAAUACGGAGGGUGCAAGCGUUAUCCGGAUUUAUUGGGUUUAAAGGGUCCGUAGGCGGACCUGUAAGUCAGUGGUGAAAUCUCAUAGCUUAACUAUGAAACUGCCAUUGAUACUGCAGGUCUUGAGUAAAUUUGAAGUGGCUGGAAUAAGUAGUGUAGCGGUGAAAUGCAUAGAUAUUACUUAGAACACCAAUUGCGAAGGCAGGUCACUAAGAUUUAACUGACGCUGAUGGACGAAAGCGUGGGUAGCGAACAGGAUUAGAUACCCUGGUAGUCCACGCCGUAAACGAUGCUAACUCGUUUUUGGAUUUUCGGAUUCAGAGACCAAGCGAAAGUGAUAAGUUAGCCACCUGGGGAGUACGU